rnacentral:rRNA from 1 species
CGGGUGAGUAACGCGUGGAUAACCUGCCUCACACAGGGGGAUAACAGUUGGAAACGACUGCUAAUACCGCAUAAGCGCACAGCGCCGCAUGGUGCAGUGUGAAAAACUCCGGUGGUAUGAGAUGGACCCGCGUCUGAUUAGGUAGUUGGUGGGGUAACGGCCUACCAAGCCGACGAUCAGUAGCCGACCUGAGAGGGUGACCGGCCACACUGGGACUGAGACACGGCCCAA